rnacentral:rRNA from 1 species
GUCUGUUUGGAGAUAUAAAGAGUCUGGCCUGCCCACUGAUAGUUUUAAAGGGCCGCGGUAAUCUGACCGUGCAAAGGUAGCAUAAUCGUUAGUUUUUUAAUUGGAAUCUUGUAUGAAUGGUUGAACAAAAGAAUAACUGUCUCUAUAUUUUAUUUGAAUUUAACUUUUGAGUGAAAAGGCUUAAAUAUUUUAAAAAGACGAUAAGACCCUGUAAAGCUUGAUAAAUUUUAUUAUUUAAUUGAGUUAAUAUAGUUAUAAAAGUUUAAUGAGAGAAGUUUAUUUUAUUGGGGCGAUAAUGAUAAAAUGUUUUUAACUGUUGAUAAAAAAGACAAAGUUUAAUGUAUAUGUAUAUUUAAAUGAUCCUUAAGUUAAGAUUAAAAGUUUAAGUUACUUCAGGGAUAACAGCGUUAUUUUUCUUGAGAGUUCUUAUCGAAAGAAAAGUUUGCGACCUCGAUGUUGAAUUAAAAUUUCUAUAUAAUUGUAGCAGUUAUAUAAGAGGGUCUGUUCGACCUUUAAAUUUUUACAUGAUUUGAGUUCAGACCGGCGUGAG